UACAGAGGUCCCAAGCGUUACUGAGAAUCACUGGGUUUAAAGGGUGCGUAGGUGGUCCGUUAAGUCAGUUGUGAAAUCCCCGGGCUCAACUCGGGAACUGCUUCUGAUACUGGCGGACUUGAGGCCAGUAGGGGUCACUAGAACUGACGGUGAAGCGGUGAAAUGCGUAGAUAUCGUCAGGAAUGCCGGUGGUGAAGACGGGUGACUGGGCUGGUUCUGACACUGAGGCACGAAAGCGUGGGGAGCGAGCGGG
rnacentral:rRNA from 1 species